GGAACACCCGUGGGGAAGGGGACUUUUUGGUUGUUAACGACGGUGAGGCGGAAAGGGUGGGGAGCCAACCAGAUUAGAUACCCUGGUAGUUCACCCCGUAAACGAUGAGUGGUAAGUGUUAGAGGGUUUCCGCCCUUUAGUGGUGCAGCAAACGCAUUAAGCACUCCGCCUGGGGAGUACGGCCGCAAGGCUGAAACUCAAAGGAAUUGACGGGGGCCCGCACAAGCGGUGGAGCAUGUGGUUUAAUUCGAAGCAACGCGAAGAACCUUACCAGGUCUUGACAUCCUCUGACACUCCUAGAGAUAGGACGUUCCCCUUCGGGGGACAGAGUGACAGGUGGUGCAUGGUGU
rnacentral:rRNA from 1 species